rnacentral:misc_RNA from 1 species
UAAUAAAACUAUUCAUCUAACAAAAAGGAAUCCAAUACAUAUUUACUUUUGCCUAAUGAAAAUUCAAUACAACAUAUCCCAAACUGAAUUUCACCAAACCAAAAUAAAGGAGCGUGAUGAAUUUCCCUUGAAACUUAAAAAUUCAAAGGAAAUAAGAUCCAAAGGAAAUACAGCUAAUGAUUAGCACAUACAAAAUUUUCCAAUUUCUAUGAAACAGG